GAUGAUUACAUGACCGUCUGCAGCCAUCAAGAAGUGCAGAAGGUUGUUAAUCAUCCACAGAUUCAAUCCAGCUGUUGCUCUGCAGUUUGACCGAAAGCUGACUCUUGAGGACUGCAGCAAAAUUGUCAAGAAGUGGCUUCAUUACGCACCAGAACGAGAGGAAGACAUCACAAGGAAUCAAAGUGACGCCAACCAGAGUCAAAC